rnacentral:ncRNA from 1 species
AAUAGAGGCGCGGCACUCAUCAGUAUUCGUGGAUAAGAUACCGGAAUCUGUUUACGCCAUGAGGAAAGGGUGUGCCGCCGAAGGAGUACGGGUUCGGGACCGUAUUGACCUGGGCGUUGGGUUAACAGCCCUUCGACUGUCAUCUGGAACGGCCCGGAUGUUGCGCU